UACGGAGGGCGCGAGCGUUGUCCGGAAUCACUGGGCGUAAAGGGCGCGUAGGCGGCUCGAUAAGGCUCGCGUGAAAGUCCGGGGCUCAACCCCGGAUCGGCGUGGGCGACUGUUGGGCUGGAGCACGGUAGGGGCAGACGGAAUUCCGGGUGUAGCGGUGGAAUGCGUAGAGAUCCGGAAGAACACCGGUGGCGAAGGCGGUCUGCUGGGCCGGAACGGGGGAGAGCAAUCUCUCCCGGUGCUGACGCUGAGGCGCGACAGCGUGGGGAGCAAACAGG
rnacentral:rRNA from 1 species